rnacentral:rRNA from 1 species
UACGUAGGGGGCAAGCGUUGUCCGGAAUCAUUGGGCGUAAAGCGCGUGUAGGCGGCCCUGCAAGUCGGAUGUGAAAUCCCACGGCUCAACCGUGGAAGUGCAUUCGAAACUGCAGGGCUAGAGUCCUGGAGAGGAAGGUGGAAUGCUUGGUGUAGAGGUGAAAUUCGUAGAUAUCAAGCGGAACACCGGUGGCGAAGGCGGCCUUCUGGACAGUGACUGACGCUGAGACGCGAAAGCGUGGGGAGCAAACAGG